AUUGAACGCUGGCGGAAUGCUUUACACAUGCAAGUCGAACGGCAGCACGGACUUCGGUCUGGUGGCGAGUGGCGAACGGGUGAGUAACAUAUCGGAACGUAUCCAAUAAUGGGGGAUAACUAAUCGAAAGGUUGGCUAAUACCGCAUACGCCCUACGGGGGAAAGCAGGGGAUCUUCGGACCUUGCGUUAAUGGAGCGGCUGAUAUCUGAUUAGCUAGUUGGUGAGGUAAAGGCUCACCAAGGCGACGAUCAGUAGCUGGUCUGAGAGGACGACCAGCCACACUGGAACUGAGACACGGUCCAGACUCCUACGGGAGGCAGCAGUGGGGAAUUUUGGACAAUGGGCGCAAGCCUGAUCCAGCCAUUCCGCGUGAGCGAAGAAGGCCUUCGGGUUGUAAAGCCCUUUCGCAAGGGAAGAAAACUUACUUUCUAAUAAAGAGUGAGGUUGACGGUACCUUGAUAAGAAGCACCGGCUAACUACGUGCCAGCCGCCGCGGUAA
rnacentral:rRNA from 1 species